CAUUCAUAGCUUCAUAUUGCAUUACGCCGUGGCCUUCAGAUACAUAAAAGUGAUAUAUGGCUGAACUUGGCAGGAAAAAAGAACACAGGAAACAAAUAUCUUUGACUGCCAGGGCCAGGGGCUGCUGGUGAAGUCUCAGCUUCACGCUGGGGUUGCGGCGGCUCCCCAGGUCUCCCGUGCUAACCUAAGCUACGCUACUCGUCAUCGCUCCGGGUGAAGGGAUGGAAAAGGGGAUGUACUAUGGCACAGUGGAUGGAUGGACAGGACUGUGGCGGCAAUGUUCCCACUACUGAGUUUACAAAGCUUGCCAAACGUGGAGAACUUCACAGAAAUCGAGAAGAAAAAGCUUCCUGGCUGGCUGGAUUUUCCAUUGCUUUCUCAGCUGUACCGUGGUGGCUCCUCUAAUUUAUUCUGCAACCAGAGGGGACAACUGCGCACAGCACAGGCAUGCGAGACAGGAGAGAGUCGCUGGCACAUAGCACCACAGCUGCUCUGGAACCUAAGGAAAAUUGAUUUUAGGUGAAAGGACCGGGUUCU